ACGGAAGGCAGCAGUGGGGAAUAUUGCACAAUGGGCGAAAGCCUGAUGCAGCGACGCCGCGUGAGUGAAGAAGUAUCUCGGUAUGUAAAGCUCUAUCAGCAGGGAAGAAAAUGACGGUACCUGACUAAGAAGCCCCGGCUAACUACGUGCCAGCAGCCGCGGUAAUACGUAGGGGGCAAGCGUUAUCCGGAUUUACUGGGUGUAAAGGGAGCGUAGACGGUUUGGCAAGUCUGAAGUGAAAUGCGGGGGCUCAACUCCUGAACUGCUUUGGAAACUGUCGAACUAGAGUGCAGGAGAGGUAAGUGGAAUUCCUAGUGUAGCGGUGAAAUGCGUAGAUAUUAGGAGGAACACCAGUGGCGAAGGCGGCUUACUGGACUGUAACCGACGUUGAGGCUCGAAAGCGUGGGGAGCAAACAGGAUUAGAUACCCUGGUA
rnacentral:rRNA from 1 species